UUACCUUCAUCUUCAUUGACAUCAAUUUUUUGUUUUUCUUUUUUCAGGUAUCACAACUCCCUGACUUAUCCCGCAGUUAGUUAAUAUACUUUGCCUGCUCCUAUAUAUAUAUAUAUGGAGACGGUUGGAGAGAUUAAUAAAACGCUGGCAUUACUUUUAAUGCUCAAGCUUUAUAUAUAAUUUAUUUGUCUGGUGUAAUGGUAACUCAUGUAUUAUCUUCAUCAAAUUACGCGUUUCUCUUAUUGCUUUUCAAUUGAUUUGCUGUCUUCAGCAAUCGAUCCUUGAUUUUCUUGUACAAUUUUCAUUACUAUUGUUGAGUUUUCUCGGACGUUGAUGGCUUGUUGCUGUGUAUGUAUGGCUGCAAUUAAACGACUGGAAACAUUUGCUCUGUGCUAUUCUUGUCUCUAUAUUGAUUCCAACUAAUAAUAAGAAACGCU
rnacentral:lncRNA from 1 species